UUCUUGAAUCAAGUAAAAUUUCCUUAAACCAAGAAUUUUUCUACUCAAAUCAAGAAUAUCAAGUUCUUCAACAUUAUAUACUUUAUUCAAGUACAUUUUUUUCUGUGUAAAAAAAAAAAUUAAGAAAAUUA